rnacentral:rRNA from 1 species
GCAAGUCGUACGAGAACGCUUCAGCUUGCUGAAGCAAGUAAAGUGGCGCACGGGUGAGUAACGCGUGGGUAAUCUACCUUCGAAUCGGGGAUAACUCGCCGAAAGGCGUGCUAAUACCGGAUGAUAUCUUUGUUACUUCGGUAACGAAGAUCAAGGGUGGCCUCUUCAUGAAAGCUACUGUUUGAAGAUGAGCCCGCGUACCAUUAGCUAGUUGGUAGGGUAAAAGCCUACCAAGGCGAUGAUGUGUAGCUGGUUUGAGAGGACGAUC